rfam:Candidatus Zambryskibacteria bacterium RIFCSPHIGHO2_02_FTLL_43_37 rifcsphigho2_02_scaffold_21785, whole genome shotgun sequence.
ACAAUUUAGAGUUUGAUCCUAGCUCAGGAUGAACGCUGGCGGCGUGGAUGAGUCAUGCAAGUCAAACGGGGUCACUUUAUGUAGCAAUACAUUUUGUGAUUCAGUGGCAGACGAGGUAGUAACACGUAGGAACCUAACCUUGAGUCGGGAAUAAUUCACCGAAAGGCGAACUAAUACCCGAUGGUAUCUAAGGAUUAAAGAAGCAAUUCGCUUAAGGAAGGGCCUGCGGAGUAUCAGCUAGAUGGUAGGGUAACGGCCUACCAUGGCUAUGACGCUUAGGGGACCUGAGAGGGUGACCCCCACCGAUGGGACUGAGACACGGCCCAUACACCUACGGGUGGCUGCAGACGAGAAUAUUCGACAAU